GACGAACGCUGGCGGCGUGCUUAACACAUGCAAGUCGAACGACGUGGCGAACGGGAGAGUAACGCGUAAUCAACCUGCCCUUCAGAGGGGGACAACAGUUGGAAACGACUGCUAAUACCGCAUACUUAAGGAGGGGAUUGCGUCUGAUUAGCUAGUUGGAGGGGUAACGGCCCACCAAGGCGAUGAUCAGGAGCCGGUCUGGGAGGAUGAACGGCCAAAUUGGGACUGAGACAAGGCCCAGACUCCUACGGGAGGCAGCAGUGGGGAAUCUUCCGCAAUGGACGAAAGUCUGACGGAGCAACGCCGCGUGAGUGAUGACGGCUUUCGGGUUGUAAAGCUCUGUUAAUCGGGACGCGGUACCGGAAUAGAAAGCCACGGCUAACUACGUGCCAGCAGCCGCGGUAAUAC
rnacentral:rRNA from 1 species